rnacentral:rRNA from 1 species
UACAGAGGGUGCAAGCGUUAAUCGGACUUACUGGGCGUAAAGCGCGCGUAGGUGGUUUGUUAAGUUGAAUGUGAAAUCCCCGGGCUCAACCUGGGAACUGCAUGCAAAACUGGCAAGCUAGAGUAUGGUAGAGGGUGGUGGAAUUUCCUGUGUAGCGGUGAAAUGCGUAGAUAUAGGAAGGAACACCAGUGGCGAAGGCGACCACCUGGACUGAUACUGACACUGAGGUGCGAAAGCGUGGGGAGCAAACAGG